rnacentral:rRNA from 1 species
AGAAGCCCCGGCUAACUUCGUGCCAGCAGCCGCGGUAAUACGAGGGGGGCGAGCGUUGUUCGGAAUUAUUGGGCGUAAAGGGUGCGUAGGCGGUUUGGUAAGUCUUGUGUGAAAUCUAUGGGCUCAACUCAUAGACUGCACGAGAAACUGCCGGGCUUGAGUGUGGGAGAGGUGAGUGGAAUUCCUGGUGUAGCGGUGAAAUGCGUAGAUAUCAGGAGGAACACCUGUGGCGAAAGCGGCUCACUGGACCACAACUGACGCUGAUGCACGAAAGCUAGGGGAGCAAACAGGAUUAGAUACCCUGGUAGUCCUAGCCCUAAACGAUGACUGCUUGGUGUGACGGGUACCCAAUCCCGCCGUGCCGUAGCUAACGCGUU